rnacentral:sRNA from 1 species
UACAAAAUCGUAACAUUGAUAUAUCGGCGAAUUUCCAUGAUAAAGUAUUCUAAUGUUUGUUUGUAACCCAAUCCUCAACCUGAACAUAUUUAAAGUCUAAACUUUCUCAGGGACCAAGUUUGAAUUAACCAUACUACUUUGAUCAAUUGUAUCAAUGUUUAAAUUCAUUGUCUAUUCCACAAUACCUAGAAGUGCAAACAUUUGGCAAACAUUAUAUCAAAGCAGUACAUAGGGUUUUUCUUUUGCAUUAAAGCCAUAUUAUACAUUUCAAAAUGUUAAAAUUUACAUUAUCUCAGAUAUUUCAUUUUAAUUUGAAAUGCCAAAUCAAAGGUUUUCAAAACCAAGAAAUUCCUUAAUAUUUUACUUUUUAGAACCUGUCAUAAUAUGAUCAUUACACUAUAUUUUAAAUAACAGUACGUAUUAUUUGUAAUCCUUCAUAGUUAAUGAAAUAAAAAAACAAAUAGAAUUGUUUCUGUUUUGGCUAAAUGAAGUGCAAUCUGUUAUCAAAUGGACAUGGUCACGAUUGUAGUCAAAUAAUAUAUUUUUCGAUUUUAUUACUUACAAUGCUUCAGUAAGGCAUUUUUAAUAGGCAACCAAAUUUGAGUGUCAUUCGUUGAGUUAUAAGCGAGUUACAGAACUAACAAUUCUUCGCUAUGUUUUGUUUACAUGUUGAAUGUUGAAAUUAAAAUUCCAGUUUUCAACCUAAAAUUAAUCUUUAAAACGUUAUGAACUGUUUAUUUAUGCUUUAAAAAUAUGAGGAUAGAAAAAUCAGCUUGAAUAAUAUUUUUUAACUGGUAUAUUGAACAAGUAAACAAACACAGGGCACGAGCUUUGUUUAAAUGCCAUAGAAUUGUGAGCCCUGUAUCUCGCUUACAACUCAAAGAAUGACUAUCAAAUUUCAUUUUAACAUUAGAAAUGCAUUCCUAAAGCAUUGUAUAUAAUGAAAACAGAAAACUAAAACUGGAUCGAAUUCGUGACCAUGCCCCUUUAAGAAAAUUGUCUUCUUUUUCUGCAACAAUAAAAGAUUAUUAAUUAGAAUAAAGAAAGGGCCGACAUUAUUCCAAUAUGGAAAAGUGUGAUAUAUUACAUAAACAUUUGAUGAAACAUUGUUGAACUUGUCACUGGGUAGAUAACACCACAUGUCUGGUUUAUCAUACAAUAUUGCAUGGUAAACGGUGUCAAAAGCCUUUUGUAAAUCGAACUUUCCAUAUGCCUGUGAAAGGUACUUAAGAUUUAUUGCUUAUAAUUGAAUCUAACGUAUUUCAAAAGUAAUUAAACAUAGCAAAUGUACACUUAAUAAGUGAUAUUAUUGAAAUUUUAUCAUGCUAUUGUUAUUCUUUCCUUUUUUGUAUUUCUACACCUAUCUUUGUGUAUUUUAUGACAUUUGAUGAUACUGUAUUUCUAUCAGCUUAGAACUUACAUAUAAGUAUAAAAUAUUAAUGUGGAUGUGUAUUUACAAGUAUUUGAGAAUAAAACUAU